rnacentral:tRNA from 1 species
GCGGAUGUGGUGAAAUUGGUAUACACGCUGGUUUUAGGUACCAGUGCCGAAAGGCGUGAGAGUUCGAGUCUCUCCAUCCGCACCA